rnacentral:rRNA from 1 species
CCUACGGGUGGCAGCAGUGAGGAAUAUUGGUCAAUGGGCGCGAGUCUGAACCAGCCAAGUAGCGUGAAGGAUGACUGCCCUAUGGGUUGUAAACUUCUUUUAUAUAGGAAUAAAAUGUUCCACGUGUGCGUUUUUGUAUGUACCCUAUGAAUAAGGAUCGGCUAACUCCGUGCCAGCAGCCGCGGUAAUACGGAGGAUCCGAGCGUUAUCCGGAUUUAUUGGGUUUAAAGGGAGCGUAGGUGGAUUGUUAAGUCAGUUGUGAAAGUUUGCGGCUCAACCGUAAAAUUGCAGUUGAAACUGGCAGUCUUGAGUACAGUAGAGGUGGGCGGAAUUCGUGGUGUAGCGGUGAAAUGCUUAGAUAUCACGAAGAACUCCGAUUGCGAAGGCAGCUCACUGGACUGCAACUGACACUGAGGCUCGAAAGUGUGGGUAUCAAACAGGAUUAGAUACCCGAGUAGUC